rnacentral:rRNA from 1 species
GAAUGGAUUAGCGGCGAACGGGUGAGGAACACGUGAAGAAUCUGCCCUCCACUUUGGGAUAACACAGGGAAACCUGUGCUAAUACCGAAUAUUGAAACAUAAGUGGCAUCACUGAGUUUUGAAAGAAUUUCGGUGGAGGAUGACUUCGCGGCCUAUCAGCUAGUUGGUGAGGUAAUGGCUCACCAAGGCAACGACGGGUAGCUGGCCUGAGAGGGCGACCGGCCACACUGGGACUGAGACACGGCCCAGACUCCUACGGGAGGCAGCAGUGGGGAAUAUUGGGCAAUGGAGGAAACUCUGACCCAGCGACGCCGCGUGCGGGAUGAAGGCCUUCGGGUUGUAAACCGCUUUCAGUAGGGAAGAAGCGAAAGUGACGGUACCUACAAAAGAAGCACCGGCUAACUAUGUGCCAGCAGCCGCGGUAAUACAUAGGGUGCAAGCGUUGUCCGGAAUUAUUGGGCGUAAAGAGCUCGUAGGUUGUUUGUUACGUCGGAUGUGAAAACCUGAGGCUCAACCUCAGGCCUGCAUUCGAUACGGGCAAACUAGAGUUUGGUAGGGGAGACUGGAAUUCCUGGUGUAGCGGUGGAAUGCGCAGAUAUCAGGAGGAACACCAAUGGCGAAGGCAGGUCUCUGGGCCAAUACUGACACUGAGGAGCGAAAGUCUGGGGAGCGAACAGGAUUAGAUACCCUGGUAGUCCAGACCGUAAACGGUGGGCACUAGUUGUGGGGACCUUCCACGGUCUCUGCGACGCAGCUAACGCAUUAAGUGCCCCGCCUGGGGAGUACGAUCGCAAGAUUAAAACUCAAAGGAAUUGACGGGGCCCCGCACAAGCAGCGGAGCAUGCGGCUUAAUUCGACGCAACGCGAAGAACCUUACCAAGGCUUGACAUAUAGGGAAAAGUGGCAGAGAUGUCAUGUCCGCAAGGGCCCUAUACAGGUGGUGCAUGGUUGUCGUCAGCUCGUGUCGUGAGAUGUUGGGUUAAGUCCCGCAACGAGCGCAACCCUCGUUCUGUGUUGCCAGCAUUUAGUUGGGGACUCACAGGAGACUGCCGGGGUUAACUCGGAGGAAGGUGGGGAUGACGUCAAAUCAUCAUGCCCCUUAUGUCUUGGGCUGCACGCAUGCUACAAUGGCCGGUACAGAGGGCUGCAAUACCGUAAGGUGGAGCGAAUCCCAUAAAGCCGGUCUCAGUUCGGAUUGGGGUCU